GGAAGAAAGUCAUGAAAGCUUAGUUAAGUUUCGGGCAUCUUCAAGCUUAAAUUCAAGAUUAAGAAUUAAAGAAAUCAGUUUUGGAUCGGGGAAAGACAAAGGUGGUCGAGUAGCCGAUUUAACAGUCGACGACAUCCGAGAUUUUGGAAGUGGUUACGAGCUCGGGGAUCGUUAGCAAGACUUAUCACAUAUCGACAGUUUCCUUCGGUACUUUACUAAGUUGAUCUUGAGUAUAUGGCAUGUAUAGCAUAGUUAAUAUGUUGAUUUUGGAACUAAUGUGUAUGUGUAAUUAAUGGCCAUGUGAAAAUGGCUUAUCUCUUUUUUGUUUGGGUUUGGUAUUGAUGCAUAUGGCAAAUUUGGUAUUCUUGAUUUUUCUUAUUUUGUUUAUGUUAUAAAAAAAUUAUAAGUUAACUAAAAUUACAAAUAGGCUUUAUGUCCGGUAAUAUCUCGUAACCCCAAUCCGGCAACGGACACGGGUUAGAGGUGUUACAAGUUUGGAUAGCAAGGCAGAUAGGCAAGCUUCCGUUUUGGUAGCAUUAAAUAAACAUGACAAAAGGUGUCGCUAUUGUAAAAAGUUAGGUCAUGUCAAAGCAGAUUGCUAUAAACUAUGAAAUAAAAGAACUGCUGAGA